AAUAGAUACCCCGGUAGUCCACGCCGUAAACGUUGGAUACUAGGUGUGGCGGUUAUACCAAUGACUGCCGUGCCGAAGCUAACGCAUUAAGUAUCCCGCCUGGGGAGUACGGCCGCAAGGCUAAAACUCAAAGGAAUUGACGGGUCCCCGCACAAGCGGCGGAGCAUGCGGCUUAAUUCGAUGCAACCCGAAGAACCUUACCUGGGUUUGACAUCACGGGAAAAGCUGUAGAAAUACAGUGUCCAUUAGGGCCCGUGACAGGUGGUGCAUGGCUGUCGUCAGCUCGUGUCGUGAGAUGUUGGGUUAAGUCCCGCAACGAGCGCAACCCUUGUCCUAUGUUGCCAGCGCGUUAUGGCGGGGACUCAUCGAAGACUGCCGGGGUCAACUCGGAGGAAGGUGGGGAUGACGUCAAGUCAUCAUGCCCCUUAUGUCCAGGGCUUCACGCAUGCUACAAUGGCCGGUACAAUGGGCUGCGAUACCGUGAGGUGGAGCGAAUCCCAAAAAGCCGGUCUCAGUUCGGAUCGGGGUCUGCAACUCGACCCCG
rnacentral:rRNA from 1 species